rnacentral:lncRNA from 1 species
ACCAAAUCUGUUGGUGUACCAAAAUGCUUAAGCCCAAUUAUUUGGCAGGUUGUUCUGUUCCACAUCACAGACAAAUACAUUAGAAGUUUUACCAGCAAUGUGGCAUUCUAGAGGUGGGUCCUACUUGUUGGGCUCAAACUACCGGCCAAAAUGCUUAAACUCAGUAAUUAUUAUUAGUGUGGAGGCCUCACAUGUCUCAUCAGAACCUCUUUUUCAUUCGAUGUAAGAAUAUUGGGGCGUUACAGACUCACUCUAUUUAGAUCCUGAUAUCCUCAUUAGUUCCAAACCAGAUCACAAACAUACAUAUCAGAAUUACUAAGCUAUGUGAGAUUCUAGAGGUGGCUCUCGCUAUGGGUUUGAGAGGUGACUCCUACCAAAUCCGCUGGUGUAGCAUUUUGUUCUGUAUAACACUUAGCUCUCACAUUUCCGGCUGGUAUUCGACUCUGAUACUAUGUAACGACCUGAUUCGGUAGCAAUAAUAACUAGUUGUGCUCAAACCACUGGUCCAAAAUGUUUAAACCCAGUUAUUAUUAUUAGUGUGCAAGGUCUCAUAUAUUUCAAUCAAAAUUAUUUUUCCAUCCAAUAUGGAAUUAUUGGGGCAUUACAUACUCCGUAGGCUCUAUUUGAAAAUCCGAAAAAGUUAUUUAGUAAAUAUUUGUUCAAUAUAGA